GCUUACGGCCCACACCGGCCUGAGUACGCCUGAUCUCGUCCGAUCUCGAAGCUAAGCAGGGUCGGGCCUGGUUAGUACUUGGAUGGGAGACCGCCUGGGAAUACCAGGUGCUGUACGCU
rnacentral:rRNA from 1 species